ACGGCAUCCCUAGCUGCAGCUCCUUAAGACGUUAACUCCCCCUUCAUGCCCUCCAGCUGUUUAUUAUUUCCCUUCUGCUGCUGCUUACCACCUCCACGGUGUGUCAGAAGAAUGGGACAUGAAUGCUCCCACCUCAGCCGCUUCAGCACAAAGUCUGGCAGCGGCUUCCUUCCAGCUGCUGGGGAAAGGGGUUUUAGGCAGAGCUGCCAGCCUUUGCCCAGGAGCCUCGGAGGAGAGUGCGAGAGCUGUUCCACCGGCGCUGCGCCGGCAGCGGGAGCCUCCGGCACAAGGGAGCAGAUGAACAAGCUGCCGGGGGUGGCAGCGGUGGUGAUAACAUCUGGACCCACCCGAGGAGAGCACAUCUCCCGAUGCUCAGGCAUGAGGCUGCUCCAGCAUGGAUGUGUUGCAGAUGUGCUGAUAGCAGUGAGCUGAGUGCUGACACUGCUGUGGAGGGGCUGCAGGGCUACGACAGCUGGUUUGAGGCAGGACAAGGGGAAAGUCUAGCCAGUGUCUGAGCUCCCCUUCGCCCCAAACCUCCCACUGCUGCCAUCCAGGCUGUGCUGAAAAACCUCGGGAAAUAUCAGGAGUGACCUCCCAUGAUUUUCUGAGACCCAAAGGAGCUGAGGAGCUGCAGGAGCAGUGUACACUGGGGUGCCCAGCUCUGGAUUCACAUCCCUGCUGCUUGGAGAAGGUGUCUCUGGCUGCAAGGGAGCCCAUCCUUGGGACACAGGUGGUUCUUCAAGUGCUCCAGAAAGCCAAAGGGGUUUUUUCCCACCCACUCCAGACCUCAGCAGAGCUUGCUGUGCUGCUGGGAGAUUGAUCCCAGCUCACACAUGGCUCACAGCAAUGCUCUGCCUCAGGCUGAGCUCAGCUGCCCUGGCACUGCCCCCUGCCCUCUGCAGGCUCCGGCCGGGCCAUGUCCCUCUGGCACUUCCAUGGGAUCCCAUGAGGUCAGUUCCAGCCACGCUCAGGAAUUUGGCUUUUCUGCUGCAAUGUAUUAACAGAUCAUUUCCAGCUCAGCCCUGGACUUGUAUUAACCUCUGAUCCCUGGGCAGAAGACACGUUUUCUAUAAAGCCCAACAAACCCUGUCAAGUUUUAGUUCAUGUGAGAUCUUAUAGCAGAGAGCAGACCAUAGGUGGGGAAACUGAGGCAAGAGACAGUGAACAAAUUGGGUCAGUCUGCUGAGGUUAAAUCUGCCACGGGGCCACACAAUCCCCAAAUUUGGGAUGGACCCAAAUUUGUACAUCCAUGGACACAAGUGAGCAGCUCUCCUGUGACUUCCAGCAUCUCACCUCCAGCCGUGCUGCUGCUUACCAUGGAAAAGUCACAUUAGGAAAGUAUGUGAUGUAUUUUUAACUGUCUAUAAUGCAAUUUAACAGCUGGAAAGGAGGAAGAACGCCAGCCCCAUGCAAUCCAACAGAUCUCUGCUGUCUGCAAGCGAGGGCUCUGUGGACUCAGGGGGUUUUGGUAUGGUUGGAGACCUUGUUUGGGAAAAGGGCAGGAAACAACCUCAUCCUCGAGAUGGGCUCUGACUCAUGAAAGGCAACAUGUGCAGGAUGGAGGUGAGAGCACUCAGCAGCUCCCAGGGUGACAUGUCUGUCCCCAGAAGCCACCAUGCUGAGUGCUGUGGCCAGGCUCAAUUCCCCAAAGAGCUCAGUCUCUUGGCAGUGCUUUGGCUUUGGGAUUCUUUGCAUGCUCUGGCAACGGGGCUGCAGGGGAGGGUUCUGGGAUCCCUCUGCACUGGAGGCAUUCACCACAGGACAUAUUUUCCCCUGCUAUUCCCAGUCCCAGGUUCCUGCCCUGCUCCCAGGGCUGGAUGUGCUGUGGAGGUGGGUGCUGCCAGACUGCACCAUCCCACUCCUCCCCCUGGAUGGAAGGGGUGUGUGCCCCCCAUGCUGCUCUCCCAGCCAGCCCCCAACACCUUCUGCAGUGCAGGGAGGGAGCCCAGCAGGGCUUUGGUGUGAGCAGGAUGCUGUGUCCAGGAUCUGAUGCAUCUCCUGCCUUCCCUGCCCACAUCCCAUGGGAGCCUCUGCCUCCAGUGCACUGAGACCCUGCCAGUGAGGGGUAGAAUGAUCAAUAUUUGUGUUCCUCCAUGCCAGCCAAGUGGAAGUGCUCCUGCUGCCAGUAAUGGGUCUCUAAUGGGGCUGAGCUCUAAUGGGGCUCCUCUACAGUGUGGUGGCUCUUUGGGCAACCACAGUAGGGUUUAUCUGGGGUGUUGGGGUUGGUUUGUUGCCUCCAAGCAGCUGGGUGCUAAAAGGGAGUGAGUUUGUUGCCGUCACUGGCGUUACUCCCCAGUGCUUCUCCUUGGAGGAAUUCUCCCCCACAACGGUCCCCAAUACUAAGAGGAAGAGAGUGAGACCCAUCUUCAGCCUCAUCCCAGGGGACACCCCAGGGCAAGGCUCCUGAUUUUCCCCAGAGCAGUGUUUGGGAGCUGGAAGCUGCUGGCAGCUGGUUCCUAUAUCCAGGCUUUUGCACACACACUGAAAAAUGAGCAGUGGGAUAGCUCAGCAGGGAGGAGGCUCAGUGAGGGGGGGUCUCUGGUGAGCACUUGGAGGAUGUAGGACCCAGGGGUGCUCAGGGAUGCUGCCAUUUGCUCACCUUUUUGUGGGGGAAGUUGUGAACUCACAUGGAGACUCCUUGGGCUGGAGAAGAGCAUUGCUGGGCUUAGGAAGGGCUGAGAGAGGUAGAGAAGCAGAAACACAGGCACAGGGAAGGGAAACAACUCGGUGAAGGUCAUCUCUGGGCCAGUGGCACAACCAGGAAUAAAAUCCAGGUGUGCUGAAUUGGUCCUUGGGUUGUAUUCAUGCGUGUGGUUGCAUUAACACUGCUGUCCCUGAGCAGGGGCCAGUACUAGAGAGAGUUUCCCAAAGCCACUGGUGCCCUCCAGAGAGGGACAGUGCAGGCUGUGGGGCUGGGAGAAAGAGAGGUCUGCAUGUUUGGGGUCCCUUUUCCCCUAGAGCAUCUUCCAAGCCUGGCUGUGUGGAUGGGGAAUGCUGUUGGAUGCUGGCUGAUAAGGCAGAGUGGUUAAAAUCACUGCCUUUAUUUGGAAGCUUAUCUCCAAAUCCUAAUGAAAACACAGAGGGAAGCCGGGGACAGCAGAGGGGGAGGACUCACACCCCGGCGUGGUGGGGACCCAGCUGGGCCAGGCUGAGCAGGGCCACCUGGUGGGGUUUGGAGUCUGGGGCUUUAAAAGCUUUGGGACAAAACCCAAGGAGACAGGGCACAACCAUGGGUCCCACACCCAAAGAGGGAGAGCCUGCAGGGGCAGCUGCAGCCCCACUCUGAGAGCCCUGAAUUUGGGAUUCCUCCAGAUUUUUUUUUUAAAUUAGGGGCUCAAUGAGGAAGAAAAAGCUUGAAACCAAGGAAACAAGGGAGACAGAAAGGGAAAUGUCGGCUCCUGCAAGUGGAGUGAGCUGGCUCCAGCACCCUGGGGUGAGGCUGGGUGCUGCCCCUGCUGCCCUGACUGCUCCUCCAUGGCUGUGGUGCAAAAAGGUGACCAAGUUGAGAUGCAAUGAAGAAGUGAGAAGGUGAAAGGAGGUCUUGUGCAGGGAGGCAUGAAAGGCUUUGCCCUGGAGGGUGCUGAGCUGCUCAGGAGAAUUUGUUUUGGCGCAAAAGGGAUGAUGGAGGAGGUGAGCAGAGUUUUUUCAGGGUAUGCUCUAGAGCAGACAGCAGCUAUGGUGGGCUCAGCAAUCUGAGCUGGACUUCCCAGACACCAAAAUAAUAUUCCCAGACCAAAAGUUAUGAGGUAGAAGGGCUGGGAAAGCUGGGGAUGAGACAUGUGCGUGUGUGUGGAUGCGGCCGUGGCUGUGCCAAGCCCCAUAAAUCACAGCAGCGCGGCCUGAGCCUCCAUCGGAGGAGAUUCUUCCUUGCCAGAUUCGAACAUUUCCCCUCAACAGCCUCAGCUUUCCCCUCCAAGCAGCAGAGACGAGAGAUCCUGAUGAUGGCAAGUGCAAAGGGUUUCUGGGAGCAUCCCGAAGGAAGGGUUCUCUGCCCCACACCCAGGGCCAUGGGCAGAGCCCUGCUCUGCCCCGCCUUGGGGCUGAUCCGGAGCAGCGCUGAGGCUCUGGGGGUGCUCACCACCAGCGCCCCAUCCCGUGCUCUCCUUCCCCCAUCCACGGCCGGCCGGGCCCAGCUUUGCUGUGCUGGGGGAGCGUAAGUUGAUAUUUUCCUGCUCGUCCCCAGAGGGUUUUUUCCAUUACACAGGCAGAGCGGAGCGGAGCGGAGCUGCCUGCUCGCCCGCUCGCCCGGCUCCCCCGCCUGCAACCUCUGGCACCGCUUUUCCAGCGGCACAUUGUGCAAAUGUAACCUUUCAGCGAGCCACUCCUACGGCAGGAAGCCGGGGGGCUCCGCUCCUGCCAGGAACGCAGCCGGCGCGGAGCUGGAAGGCAGCCCGUUAAUCAGAGCCGGCUGACAGCGGAGCGCACAGCCUGGGCAACAGAUUUCUGCUCCCUCUCCCUCGUUCGCGCUGCCUCGCCUUCCCGCUCCCGCUCGCUGCCGCUCGGCUACACGGUCUGCCCUGCCAUCCCGCCUGCCUCCCCAUCCUCAUCCUCAUCCUCAUCCUCAUCCUCCGCUUCCUCUUCAUCCUCAUCCUCCGCUUCCUCUCCAUCCUCAUCCUCUGCUUCCGCCCUUUCCUCAUCCUCCGCUUCCUCUCCAUCCUCAUCCUCCGCUUCCUCUCCAUCCUCAUCCUCUGCUUCCUCCCUUUCCUCAUCCUCCGCUUCCUCUCCAUCCUCAUCCUCUCCUUCCUCACCCUCUGCUUCCUCCCCUUCCUCAUCCUCCGGUUUCUCAGGGCGCCAGCUGGGCUCCUGCACUCGCCUUCCCUCCCCGUCCCGAGCAAGAGCUGCCCGUGGCUCUUGGUAGGAAACCUUUUGGAAUGCAGGUGGGGACCUGUCCCAGUCGCCACCGUGAGGAGGGGACCGCUGUGACAGCCGCAGCCAGGCCGAGGUGAAGCACACACCGGAGCGCCGUGCCCAGGGAUGCUGUGCCAGAGGGUGGGACCCCUGUGUGGCUGCAGUGCCCCCCACCACCUUGCACAGGGUCCCCCAGCGACCCAACCAGCCAGGGGCUCCCUGUGACACCCCAGUCAGGGCUGUGCCCCUGGGGCUGGGUCUCGGUCCUUUUUCUCUCUCUUUGAGGCACCCAGCUCCUGCCUGCUCCAAAUAAAUGUGAGUUUUAUUUCUUGUGCUGGCAGCAAACACAUCGGGGGGGGCUCAGUCUGCACCCACACACCAGCACACCCACGCAGCACUGGCAGCCCCUGCCCCUCAGGAAGGUUUUUCCCCAGCUCGUUGCCCCUGGCUUGUGGCAGCCCCAUGGGUCCAGUGUGGUGUCUGGGAUGUGCCGGGCAGGAGCCUCCCCCUGGGAAGAGGGGCUGGCUGGGGGGAGCCAGGCUGUCCCAUUCAACCCCCAUGGCUGUGUCCCCACUGGGGAGGGCUGGGCUGGGUUGAGGUGGUUGCAUUGGCCAAGGCAAUGGCUGGUAGUGCCAGUUUGGAUGGUGUUCCCCAGGUGCCAAACACACCUUCAUGCCCAGGUAAAGUCCAGUGAGGAGAAAAAGGCAGAAGAAAUCCCAUCACCAUCUGUGCAACAGGCUCCCUUGUGCACCCUCACUUUGGGCUUGCCAGAAGUAAAAGGGCACCAAAAAUGGUCACAUCUAGCCCUGUUCUUCCCCAGUUCCUCCUGCCCCUGCAAGAUCAAACACUGAGUGUUUUUCUCCCCCAGUGAGGUUCUGCUAGAAGCACCAGGGAUCCCUUCAGACAGGGACUGCUGCACAGUGCUGUGACUUUGGGGCAAAGAUUCAUCUCCUCCUAAUUGCAUAAAAAGCACCAGUCUAAGCAUUGAGAGUGUUCUGGGCUCACAGGCAUGGCUGAGCAGAGAUGCAGGGGGCAUUUUUAUCUGCUCCUGUAAGUGGGUUUGCUUUGCUGAGGAUGAAAGGUUUGAUUUUUGGAGUGGUUGAGCUGGCAUGGGCUGGGCUGUGGGUUCAAGGGCUCUUCCAAGUGCCCUCAGCCUCAUCACCAGCCCAGCCACUGCAACCCCUGCAUUUAUUUUUCAUGUCUGAUUUCUUCCAGUGUUUGAAACACAAAAUGUGCUGCAUUGUAGCAUCUGUUUUUGUGGUAUUUCCAGCCCAGCUGGAAGCAGGAGGCACUCAAAAUUCAGGGAUGGAAAAAAAAAAAAAAAAAAGAAUCUGGUGAGAUUUUGUCUUCCUGCCAAACUCACCAAACCUGGGAUGCCAGGAGAGCCCUGCUGUGGGCGCACCAUCCUGGGUCCUCAACUCUUCCAUCCUUUUCUGGUUGUCUGCUCUUUGCUCAUCCCAAACCAUCCUCUCAUUCCCAAAUCACUUUCAGGACGCUGCACAAAGCCUGACCCCGCUGUCGGAGCUGCGGACGGGCGGAUAAUACAGUGGCUGAAUUUAUUUCACCUUUUCCUCUGGUUGCGAAUUGUCCGGGAGCAGAUGGCGAUUUUCUCAAGUGUAUCCGUUAUUCGAAGUCACUCACUGAGACAGAGAUGGCUCAAACAAAUCCCAGGCCCCCUGCAAAGCCAUCAUUUGGUCUUUCCAUCUGCCCAGCCGCCGCUGUCGGCGUGGGCUCGGCGUCCGCCCGCGCGCCGGAGGGAAGCGGGGAGCCCGGACAGCCCGUGGAUGUGGUCAGCCCUGCUGUCUGCACCUCUCUCCCACUUCAUCUCUAUGGAAUGCUGAGCUCUGGAGGGUGGCAGGAGUGGCUGGGAUCCACAUCCCACCUUUACUGGGGUUUGGGAGGUUUGGGGCCGCGCUGUCUCGCUCGCACGGUGCCUUCCUGUGCAGUGACAGGGUGAGGGGAACUCACUGGGACAGUGGCCAGCUGCAAACUGGGAAGUUGCAUCUCAGGAGAAGAUGCCAGAGGCUGUUUCUGCUGCACCUCCCUUCCUGGCCCCGGAGGAAAUGGGUGUUUUUGGGGUGGUGAAACACCAAAACAGCCCCAGGAAACCUGAGACCUGAUGUGUGCGGUGUCCCUGCAGCACAGGCUGGUGUCACAGCCAGGACUGGAGGUGCUGAGGGUUUGUGUGUGCAGGGAUGUGUCCAGCUCUGGGUGAUGCAUAUGGAGAGGGGACCUGCAAAAGCAGCCUGAGGAUGACUGUAGGUGGCCAGAGCCCUCCCUGUGUUGGUGGCACUCUCUUGGAGAAGCCUGGGCAGGGCUGCGAGGGAUGGGCUUGGGCUGGUGGCUUCUGCCAACCUCCUACAGUACCUCCCAGGAUAUCUGUGUGCCCGGGGCUCUGCUCUGGGUGUUGGUAGAUUGGGAAGGGGCCAGGUGCAGGCUUUGAUCCAUCCCCAGGAUAAUCCCCACCCCAAAACCCCAACAGUGUAAUUGUCAAAAUGAAGACAACUGGGGAGAAACACAUGAAUUCUCAAGCUCACUCUCAGCCCAGCAGUCAGUCCCUGGAGCUGGGGCUCCAACUUCCCCACCCAGAGAGGGGCUGAGCCAGAGAAAUGCUCCCGCAGCGAUCUGCUCCCUCCUCCUGGCUGCAUUUCCUUUUUUUUUUUUUUUUUUUUUACUUUCCACAUCUUUCUAAUUCCCUUCCCAGCAGAGCGGCGGAGGUGGCCAGAGGGGACUCGGUGUCCUCUCGCAGGGAUACCAGGGCCAUGCAGAGGGCACUGGGGGAGCUGUGAAGGGUUUUCAAAGGGUGAAACACUUUGAAAUGCAGUUUCCUCUCCCCUCUUCACCUCCCCCCUGGCUAAACAAAUACCCCCCGGCCGGGAGAUGCCUCCCGCAUCCCGCAGGCUUUUGUUCCCAGGCUUUUGUCUGGGGCUGGGAAAGGGGCCAGGAUCCCUCUGCCUCCCCGGGGACACACAUGCAGACAGGGUCUUGCCUGCUUGGGAUGUUGAGAGGCAGGCAGGAGGUGAGAGCUGCCUGUGCCCGCUGCCACAGGGCUUGGGGACAUCCCAUGAGCCAUCCUGGCUUUCCUUAGUGGCCUCCAGCUGCUGUCCCUCUUGCCUGUCACAUCACUGGCACUUUCUGCCUGUCCCUGGACUCUACUCAUGGUACAGGUCCUGGUCCAUCCUGUCCCCACAGUGUCCCCUCUUGUCAUACUGCCACCAGCACACGCUGCAGGCUCUGUGCAUGGGCAGUGCCACCAGCUCAUGCCCUCCUGAGGACACCCCCAGAUGCCAGUUCAGAGCCACCACCCGUGGCACCUUCCAGCAGAGGGUCACCGGCUCCAUCCCCAUCACAGGGACCCUACAGAAGCCCAAGCAAAAAUUAUGUGGGUUUUACAGUGACCUCUGGCCCUCAGGAACCCAUCACCUGGCUUUCCAUUUACAUCCCAAAAGCCACUUUAAUUACACCUCGGGGAGGGAUCACUUCAGGGAGCUGCUUUUUGGGGCAAAAUGCUGAUGGGAAAAAAUCUUAUGAACAGCCAAACAACCUUGAAGGGAUCAAGGAGACUCGAGAGCCAGCCUCAAGCCUGUCCCUGCCAGUGACAAGAAACACCUUGAUGAACUCUAAGCAAAGGUGAGACUCCAAACAAACCCUCGGCAGCCAAACCCUCUGGAAACCAAACCUCUUCUUAGCCCCGGGGCAAAGUGUUUCUCCGGUGACUAAGUUUGGAAGAAAACAGGAUUGUUUGAAACGUCCCCUGUUGUUCCUGCCUCCCGCCAGGAAUUACAAAAAAGAAAAUAAAUACCCGAUUUUUGUUAUUGAAA